AUAUAUGCGAUGACGAGGAAAAGUAGGUCAGGACGGUCGUUCAGAGAGGAGGCGCCGGGGCUGUAAGCGCUUCCCGAUGCAGCUGACAGAAAACCACCUCGGAGCAGUUUGCUGAAUCUCAGUAAGCAAACCGGUGGUGCGGCGCCGUUAUUGCCUUUGAGGUGGGAGAUAUGUUCUCCAACCAGGGUGGAACCGCGGAUAGAUCCCGUCCCUGAA
rnacentral:ncRNA from 2 species